UUGCCUCAGUAACGGCGAGUGAAGCGGCAACAGCUCAAAUUUGAAAUCUGGCCCUAGGCCCGAGUUGUAAUUUGCAGAGGAUGCUUUUGGUGCGGUGCCUUCCAAGUUCCCUAGAACGGGACGCCAGAGAGGGUGAGAGCCCCGUACAGUUGGACACCAAGCCUUUGUAAAGCUCCUUCGACGAGUCGAGUAGUUUGGGAAUGCUGCUCAAAAUGGGAGGUAUAUUUCUUCUAAAGCUAAAUACCGGCCAGAGACCGAUAGCGCACAAGUAGAGUGAUCGAAAGAUGAAAAGCACUUUGAAAAGAGGGUUAAACAGCACGUGAAAUUGUUAAAAGGGAAGCGCUUGUGACCAGACUUGCGUCCGGUGAAUCACCCAGCUCUCGCGGCUGGGGCACUUCGCCGGCUCAGGCCAGCAUCAGCUCGCUGUCGGGGACAAAAGCUUCAGGAACGUAGCUCUCUUCGGGGAGUGUUAUAGCCUGUUGCACAAUACCCUUCGGCGGGCUGAGGUACGCGCUCCGCAAGGAUGCUGGCAUAAUGGUCAUCAGCGACCCGUCUUGAAACACGGACCAAGGAGUCAACCUUAUGUGCGAGUGUUCGGGUGUCAAACCCCUACGCGUAAUGAAAGUGAACGCAGGUGAGAGCUUCGGCGCAUCAUCGACCGAUCCUGAUGUUCUCGGAUGGAUUUGAGUAAGAGCAUAUAGGGUUGGACCCGAAAGAAGGUGAACUAUGCGUGUAUAGGGUGAAGCCAGAGGAAACUCUGGUGGAGGCUCGCAGCGGUUCUGACGUGCAAAUCGAUCGUCAAAUAUGCGCAUGGGGGCGAAAGACUAAUCGAACCUUUCUAGUAGCUGGUUUCCGCCGAAGU
rnacentral:rRNA from 1 species